rnacentral:rRNA from 1 species
AGCGCAGGUGGUUGUAUAAGUCUGAAGUAAAAGGCAGUGGCUCAACCAUUGUGUGCUUUGGAAACUGUACAACUUGAGUGCAGAAGGGGGGAGUGGAAUUCCAUGUGUAGCGGUGAAAUGCGUAGAUAUAUGGAGGAACACCGGUGGCGAAAGCGGCUCUCUGGUCUGUAACUGACACCGAGGCUCGAAAGCGUGGGAGCAAACA